UGGCUUCCCUUGGGUGAAGAUGUAGAACUCAGCUCUUCCUGCACCAUGCCUGCCUAGAUGCUGCCAUGCUCCCACCUUGAUGAUAAUGGACUGAACCUCUGAACCUGAUGAGAAAUUUUCUUCAUCUUUUGCCUGAGAGAAGGUCAGACUUGGCAAAUCCCUGAGGUCACCCCUCAGCAGCUGGACAAGGUACAAAGCCUCAUAAUCUAUAGCUUCCCUACCACAAGAGUUUAUACUUUCCUUCCUACGGGCCAGAAUAAAUUAUUCUUCCUGGAAGUUGCUUCUUGUCAGGCUUGUCAUGCCAGUCAGAUGUGGUCCAGGCCCAUCCUGCUCUGUACUACUACUGGGCUUUCCUGUCCAAAUGUCUAAUGGAGUGCACCGUGAAGAGGAAGAGGUGGAGAGCUUUGCCUUUCGGGCAGAAAUUGCUCAGUUCACAUCCCUUGUUAUCAAUACUUUUAUUCAAACAAGGAGAUUUUCCUCUGGGAGUUGAUCUCUACUGCUUCUGCUGCCGUGGACAAGAUUUGGUAUGAGAGACAUCUAAACAUUUUUAACCCAGAAUUGUCCCUGUCUAGAGGAAAUGCAAGAACAAAAAAGGAACCUAGGCUGAAAGAAAGACCAUCCAGAGAUUGCACCCCACUGUGCAAUUCACGCCAUCUGCAGACACCAACCCUGACACUCUUACUAAUGCCAAGAUGUGCUUCCAGACAGGAGCCUGGUAUAGCCGGUCUCUGAGAGGCUCUGCCAAAACCUGACUACAACCGAUGCAGAUACUCAUAGCCACCAAUCGGACUGAGCCUGGGGACCCCAAUGGAAUUGUUAGGGGAAGGGCUAAAGGAGCUGAAGAGGGUUGCAACCCCAUAGGUAAAACAAAAGUAUCAGUUAACUGGUACUAAACCAUCAACCAAAAAGCAUAUAUGUGCUGGUUCAUGCCUCCUAAUACAUAUGAUGACUGCCUCAUCUGGCAUCUGUGAUAGGGGAGGCGCUUGGUCCUGUGGAGGCUUGAUGCCCCAGACAAAGUGGAUGCUAGAGAGGCGAGGUGAGAAUGGAAGGGUGGGUGGAGGAGCACCCACUUAGGGGCAAA